GACGAACGCUGGCGGCGUGCUUAACACAUGCAAGUCGAACGAUGAACCAGGAGCUUGCUCUUGGGGAUUAGUGGCGAACGGGUGAGUAACACGUGGGUAACCUGCCCCAGACACUGGGAUAACUUCGGGAAACCGAAGCUAAUACCGGAUAUGACCACUUUGGACAUCCAACGGUGGUGGAAAGAUUUAUCGGUCUGGGAUGGACCCGCGGCCUAUCAGCUAGUUGGAGGGGUAACGGCCCACCAAGGCGACGACGGGUAGCCGGCCUGAGAGGGUGACCGGCCACACUGGAACUGAGACACGGUCCAGACUCCUACGGGAGGCAGCAGUGGGGAAUAUUGCACAAUGGGCGCAAGCCUGAUGCAGCGACGCCGCGUGAGGGACGACGGCCUUCGGGUUGUAAACCUCUUUCAGCAGGGACGAAGCGAAAGUGACUGUACCUGCAAAAGAAGCACCGGCUAACUACGUG
rnacentral:rRNA from 1 species